rnacentral:rRNA from 1 species
GAUGAACGCUGGCGGCGUGCCUAAUACAUGCAAGUCGAGCGAACAGACGAGGAGCUUGCUCCUUUGACGUUAGCGGCGGACGGGUGAGUAACACGUGGGUAACCUACCUAUAAGACUGGGAUAACUUCGGGAAACCGGAGCUAAUACCGGAUAAUAUUUCGAACCGCAUGGUUCGAUAGUGAAAGAUGGCUCUUCUAUCACUUAUAUAUGGACCUGCGCCGUAUUAGCUAGUUGGUAAGGUAACGGCUUACCAAGGCAACGAUACGUAGCCGACCUGAGAGGGUGAUCGGCCACACUGGAACUGAGACACGGUCCAGACUCCUACGGGAGGCAGCAGUAGGGAAUCUUCCGCAAUGGGCGAAAGCCUGACGGAGCAACGCCGCGUGAGUGAUGAAGGUCUUCGGAUCGUAAAACUCUGUUAUUAGGGAAGAACAAACGUGUAAGUAACUGUGCACGUCUUGACGGUACCUAAUCAGAAAGCCACGGCUAACUACGUG